CCUCUCUAGCCUUUGGCCGCCAUCCCCUCCCCCUAAUUCCCUCUCUCUUGUGCAGCAGCCCCCAUCCCCUCAACCCUAGCCGCCACCCCCUCCCAUCUCCUCCUCUCCAAGUGAUGUCCUUCCUCGCCGGAUCUUCUUCGUGUGGGUGCAAGUUCCGAUUGGAGAAUUGGUGGGAGGAAGGAAGGAGGAAAGGAGGAACCCAAGGUGAUUUUGUGAUUAACUCUUGUUUAUUUGUGCUGCAAUUCAAUCGAUUAGAUGUUUACGUAUGCGAAUUAGUAGAGGUGCUGUCCAGAAAUUUUGUGGGUGCGCGAACAGCAGUAGUUCUAGCAGAUUCUGGGAAUUUUUCGUGGGUAAUUAGUGGGAAUCAGUGGGAGAAUCAUGUAGAGCUUUUUCAUACCUUUCCAACGAUUACUUAUGCACUCGAUUCGGAGUUAUAUUUUAGGAGAUAUUGCUGUUUGAAUCCGGGUAUGUUGCUGUCCAAAAAAACAGAUUUGCAGGUGGGCAAACAGCAGUAGUAUUAGCAGUUUCUGGGGAUUUUUCGUGGGAAAUUGGUGAUAAUCAAUAUGAGAAUCAUGUAGAGCUUUUUCAUACCUUUCCAACGAGUACUUAUGCGCUCGAUUCGGAGUUAUAUUUUAGGAGAUAUCGCUGUUUGAAUCCGGGUAUGUUGCUGUCCAAAAAAACAGAUUUAUACAGGUGGGCGAACAGCAGUAGUAUUAGCAGUUUCUGGGAAUUGUUCGUGGGAAAUUGGUGAUAAUCAAUAUGAGAAUCAUGUAGAGCCUUGUCAUACCUUUCCAACGAGUACUUAUGCGUUCGAUUCGGAGUUAUAAUUUAGGAGAUAUCGCUGUUUGAAUCCGGUUAUGUUGCUGUCCAAAAACAGAUUGCAGGGUGUAUCUUGUAGACGAGUUUGGGCUAAUUAGAUGCUGGAAUUUAAUUAUUAUUUGAAUAUAAAACUUGUGGGAAAUUUUAUGUAGAUGCUUCCGUAGUUUUUGAUUGAUAUCACUGCUGUUAUAAUUUUAAAGUUAUGAAAUUAUCAAGCAGCACCGCUGCAGUUUGGUGGUGAUGGGGAGAGUUGUCGCUCGCAACGGGUUGGAAUUGUGCGUAGGUGCGGCGUUGUUUAUUAGCGUUUGUUAUGUUGAUUUGUACACUAAGGUGUGUGUCAAAAACAGGUGGUGGACUUCCGGAUCGUACUUAGUACCAUUCCAAAUUCCCGGUGAAGGCAAGUAAAUACAGUGGUGGUUGCUACCGUUUGGUUUGCAUCCUAUGCCUUGUCAUUGAGUAUGCAUAAGUAUUAAAUGUGUUAAUCAUUGAAUUCUAUGAUGAAGUUUAUUUGUUCGAAAGAAUUAAUUCUCAAUUGUCUAAUAUUGAGGAUGAUCAUGAUUUGGGAAUGAUAUAUGUGGUUGAUUCCCAUCUUGGAUGAAGUUGAAGUAUCUCUUUGAAUCAUGUUGUAUGAAGUGUUGUAGGCAUGUCAUGCACAUCGCAUCAUCCAUAUUGCAUUUUGAAGUUAUGUCGUGAUCUUAUGGUCCGACCGUAUCGGUACACUUUUAGCAUCGUACGUUGCCCGAGGAGGGGUACGAUGCGGCUUCAUAUCCUUAGAGGUAUGAAGGCAGAAGUCAUCCUUGCAUUUGCAGACAUUUGCACUCAUGAGGUAUAUAUGAAGUGUGACAUUACUAUGUUACUAUUGUGGUUUCUACCUGUGAGGUGUGGUAACUAGGUGUGUUGUACGUUGUAUUCGUGCUGCACCUUCGUAAUAAGAAGGUUGCGAAAUCAAAUGGUGGUAAAACAAUGUUCUUAUGUGGUUAAACAGUUUGUUAUUAUUUUACUUGCUGAGAUGUGUCAUCUCACUCUUGCAUUACUCAAUGCAGGUACUUGAUAUAUGUUGGGAAUGAGGGGAGUAGCAGCACGUCCACUUUCACUCUCAUAUUAAAGCUGCCCAAGCGCAUCCAUGAUUUAAUUAGAAACUUGAUGUCAAAGGAUGUUUGUUUUUUUUUACUAGUCAUGCGCACUGGUUAAUUCAGUUCAUGUCGUAUGUUUAACUUUCCUUUGCUAGCCGUUUAAUAAUACUUAGUAUGUUUUUUUUGUCAUGAUACAUGUUUAUACACUGUUGCCCCCUCCUUUAUGCUAUUUUGCAAAGGAGAUGCUGUCGAAAUUUUAUAUACGGAUGUCAGAAGUGUAGUUCAGUAGCAUUCCGGGGUGUUUGUGGAUUCCGGGAUGUUACAGUUGGUAUCAGAGCAUAGGCUUUAGAUUCUACGCAAUUUGAAGAUAAAUUUGACACACUUGCACAUAUAGGAAGGGUAUGAGUUCGUAUAUCUUUCAUAUUAGUAUUUUAUUGUAUAGAUGACUAGAAUUCCCUUACUCCAAAUCCCUUUAUGGUUUGAUGGGAUAUGUCGUUAACGACUUAAUGCUUGAUAUGAUAUGUUACUUCUAUUUAAUAUUGGUUUCUUGAUGUGGUUGUUGCUGAAGUUAUUAUGCAAGUGAAGCUACUAAUGUACUUGUUUUGUAUACAUAUCGUCAUGAUGUUUUUUAUGCGAUGUUUUUCAAAUCUCUGAGCUAUUACUAUCAUAUAUUUCUAUAUGCUUGACCGUGGAUGUUUUUUAUGGAUUUCUUUGGGUUCUAGUACUUGUAGGACCGAUUGUUUAUUGAGUUUGUGUAUAGUGGGUCUAAUCCGGCUUGGUGGGGUGUGAAAACACGAUAUAAUGUAGUUUUAUCAUGUGGUUGAGUCUGAUUGAAUGUUGGGUUACAACCCAACUUAUCAAUGUAAUAUUUCCAUGGAUUCAAUGCUUUGUGCCUCACCCCUUUGGGCUAAUAUGGCUACUUGCCAACUUGAUCUUAGAGUACAAGAGGUUUGUCUCCAUAGAGCAAAGGCAAUGUUGUAAUGUUUAUGAAACCUUGAGACUAGUAGAACUUAAGUGAAUUUGUAAGAUGACGUGGAUAGAUAAGUUCAACCAUGUUUACAUGAUAGGUUUUCUUAUUGUGUGCAACCUUAGCAAUAAAUAGGGUGAUUUCAAGUGGAUUUUAUGUCUAUAUUAUAGUUGAAGAGGCAUGCAUGUUUUCCUUCCAUGGUUUGUUUCUAUAGCCAUAAAGGUUAUGCAUAUUUUUUUAGUUGUUGGAGGCUAGUCAGGUGGACGAUAUGGACAACCCAUUUUAUAUAUAUUUGUAAUCGCCGACGAUAUAUGGUAGUUUUAUUUUUUUGAUCUGUUCUCUAUGCAUGCUUGUUGAAUUAUUAUUUGGACCGCUUUAUCUUAAACAAAGUCAAUGCUUAACUGGAAGUUGCUUAUGUUUGUUAGUCAUCUAUCUCUAUAAUGAUGUGGUUGUUGCAUCAGAUGGAGAUUUUUUUUUUCAUAUGAAUGAUGGUUUGAUAGAUCAUGUAUGUCUACUACUUUGAAUUCAUCCUAUGACAUCACGAGGUAGAAAUUGUUCAAGUGCAAUAAUAGGAGGUAUUGUUGUAUGUGAGGUUAAUCAAGGUAGUUUGAUUAGGUGGAUUGUCUUAUUGAAGUCCAAUUACUCCUGUUGAGCAUAGUAUCGUGUUAUUAUUUUAGUGUUGAAAGUAAUAUUUAUGAAGCUUUUGCAUGAGUCUGUAUCAAGAAGAUCAUUAGUUUUUCUUGUUGUUAUCCCUCCAUUGCUUUAUGAGUGUUGCACAUUUUAUCUCUUUUGAGAGGAGAAAAAAAAGAUGUUAUAUGUCAUGAGCACCAUUUGCUUCACGUCAACAAAAUAGUUUUGGAGAUUUCUAUUAGUUGGAUUCUAGUGUAAUAACAACCAUGUUUUAUAGUGCUUGAGAUGGGUAUGUCAGGUGUUCCAUACAUUGUCGAUACAUGGAUGUUUGACCUUAGUGGCGUUAACAAACGAGGAUGUUGAAUUUGUUGAUUGUUGUGCUUAGUGUUCUAACCUAUUUGGUAGAGUUUUAUUUAAAGACUUUGUGGAGUUGCAUCCCAAUUUGAUAGUGGAAAAUCCUAGUGUUGAUUGCACCUGCCAGUGCCUUGGGUUUCAUUUUAUAUUGUUUUUUUUAUUGUUGUUAAUGUGUUGUUUGGUUUUGGGAGGCAUUUUAAAUUAGUUGGAUGUUGAAUCAGGCUUCACUUGUCUAGAAUGUUUUGUAGUAUGUUUUUUCAUCUUUCCAUAGGAUGCUUAAUCACCCGGUUUGGUCCAAACAUUUGAGAGUUAUGGGUUUCCUAAAACAUCCUUAUUGGUGUCUCUGGCAGAAUGAGUCUUUAAUUUUGAACGGAAGAGUAGACAUUGAAGACAAUAUAAUUUGGUCUUUGUUGGAUUAUGAAAGUUUUAGCAAUUUUAUGAUCUUUCCAACGAGUAUUGGUUUGUAAUUCUCAUUGCAUAUAAUUGGAGUUAGGUUGCUCUGAAGUUGUUGCACCGUUGUGUCUGAACUUUGGUUGUCGUUAUAACCACCAAUAAAUCGACCACGUUUUGAUAGUUUCAUAGCCCAAAGUUGGGAAUUCUCUUUAAGCAAAACUUUUAGUUCUUCUCAGUACCUUUUAAAUGGGCAUUUACUUGUAAUUGUCUGUUAAAUAGAUUGGGAGAGGUGGUUGUCCGAUUAUAAGUCGAAUCUAUAAUGUGCAGUAUCUCAGGCUGAGUUUAGCUGUAGGUCAUGCAUAGUUGAGGGCUAUACAGAUAAAUUUGGGUGCAACUUUAUUGCAAAAGUCGUGGACAAUUUUCAAAACUUUUCCAACGCGUGUUCGUUGUAGUUUAAGUUGAAUAUAGCAGGAGUUAUAGGUUUUUGAAUUUUAGUUGUCCAUUGUUUCAAUCCUAUCAGUUUUGCAACAAAAGUGUUGCAUUGUUUUAUCGGUUUGGAAACCAAAUUCGAGACACUCAUUAUAAUAAAAGUUUUAGGGAAUGUUAUAAUCUUUUCAAUGAGUUUAUAUUUGCAAAAUUUUGUUAGCUGUAGGGAGUUAUGAUAUAGUGUAUAGAAUGUGCUUGGAUAAAUAUGUGGGCAGGCAUAACAUGCUUAAAUUGAUUCUUGUUUGCAUGAUGUGAGAUUAGGCUUAAAUGAUUUAAAAAGUUAUCAUAUUGCUUCUAUACUUAUAUUUGUUCUAAGUGUCUCGUAAUGAAGAACCUAAAGUUAUUAGUCUUUCGAUGAACGCUUUAUCUUAGAAGAGUAAUGAACCUCAUAAAAUCUAUUGCUUGUUGUUGGGACUGCAUGACCAGUUUUAGUUAUGCAGCUAGUUCAAUGAAGUAAACCAUCUUUUCUGUAGAGAUGUUAUAUAUAAAAGUUGUAGCCAGCUUCUUUAUCUUAUUUGUGUAAAAAUUUCAUGACCAUAGGUCUAUUAGUUUGGGAGUUAUGAUUUUCUCAAGUCCAGUCUUGUAAUCUGUCCAGAUUUUGUACAGACUUCGAAACUGACCUCGUUUGCCCAAUUUAAACUUCGAAUAAGUUCUUAUAAAUUAUAAAUAAGUUGUAGUACUUUUCUUAAUCUUUUCAACAAAUUUUGGAUCACCUUUUUUGGAGAUCUAUAAGUUAAGUUACAGCUGUUUUAAGUGUGAUCUUUGAAUCUGUCCAAAUUUGGACAGCAGAGCCUUUCUCAUGUCUUUUGACCUUGAUAUGCAUUAAAUGAACAUGAUAUGUUAUAAAUGAAUUAUAGACAAUUCUAUUAGAUUUCUAAACCUGAAUUGGAUGACUGAGACUCCAAUUAGGGAUUUUUUUUGAAUUGAGUAGUUGAAUUCUGUCCAAGUCUGGACAGAAUUUACGUUUAGCAUUGUUUGACCUUUCUAUAUGUCAAAUCUUGUUGUGAUGAUAAUACCAAGGGUAUAGUGGACUUUAUAAGAUUUCCAUAAAGUCCUAGUCUACUAUUUUGGAUGCAUAUUUUGUGAGUUAUGAGCAAAACAAUUAACCGCUGUGCUGCUGUCCAGAAAUAUGCAAGCAUUAAGUUGCUCUCUUGAAGUUGCUCUUGUUUGGCUAAGUUUGGUUUAGGCUAAAGGAACACUAUAUGCAUUGUAUUCAUAUAAACAUUCCUUGAAGUACUUGCAUAUGUCAAUGUUGAUUUGGUGUCAGGAAAGCUUUGUCCGAGGUAUAUAGGACUGUCUACUAUCUUAGCCGAGUUGGCAGCUGGGCUUAGCACAUACAAUUGUCGGAAUCUAUAAUCAUAGUACACCAUGUAUUCCAUGUCUUUAUGUUGAGGAAGUAUUUGAGGAAUCCAGACCAUCAAAUCGAGCUAGAGUUGAUUCCCUGUGUAGCAAGACCAGACUCUAGAGUGUCGUCUGCUGCGUAUCUUAGAAUCCUAGGAGCUUGAGGAGCUGAUGUGGCAGAAGUACCCGAACUUUUCAUUAUGUGUGAGUUUUGUUGAUUCAUUAAUCUUGCUUUUGUCGUUCCGAUAAAAGCGUCAGAAUUCGAGGUCGAAUUCUUUUUAAGGGGGGUAGAGUGUGAUACCCAGUUUGCAAAGAAGAGAAGUUGGAGUUUAUUCUUUCUUGUUUUUUUUGCUUCUCUUUUGGGUAGUGCACUUUUGGAGUUUGGAAUUGUUGGGUAGCAUUCGCUAGUAAAACAAUAGAAUUUUGGUUAGACUUGUGCGCCGGGGUCGGGAGUUGACGCGUGAGCGAGUUGGGCCGUGGUUCUUGAUCCGGCCCACUAACCCCCCUAACCCUAGCCGCCCCUUCCCCUAAUUCCCUUCCCCUUGUGCAGCCGCCCCCCCCCCCUCUCUAGCCUUUGGCCGCCAUCCCCUCCCCCUAAUUCCCUCUCUCUUGUGCAGCAGCCCCCAUCCCCUCAACCCUAGCCGCCACCCCCUCCCAUCUCCUCCUCUCCAAGUGAUGUCCUUCCUCGCCGGAUCUUCUUCGUGUGGGUGCAAGUUCCGAUUGGAGAAUUGGUGGGAGGAAGGAAGGAGGAAAGGAGGAACCCAAGGUGAUUUUGUGAUUAACUCUUGUUUAUUUGUGCUGCAAUUCAAUCGAUUAGAUGUUUACGUAUGCGAAUUGGUAGAGGUGCUGUCCAGAAAUUUUGUGGGUGCGCGAACAGCAGUAGUUCUAGCAGAUUCUGGGAAUUUUUCGUGGGUAAUUAGUGGGAAUCAGUGGGAGAAUCAUGUAGAGCUUUUUCAUACCUUUCCAACGAUUACUUAUGCACUCGAUUCGGAGUUAUAUUUUAGGAGAUAUUGCUGUUUGAAUCCGGGUAUGUUGCUGUCCAAAAAAACAGAUUUGCAGGUGGGCAAACAGCAGUAGUAUUAGCAGUUUCUGGGGAUUUUUCGUGGGAAAUUGGUGAUAAUCAAUAUGAGAAUCAUGUAGAGCUUUUUCAUACCUUUCCAACGAGUACUUAUGCGCUCGAUUCGGAGUUAUAUUUUAGGAGAUAUCGCUGUUUAAAUCCGGGUAUGUUGCUGUCCAAAAAAACAGAUUUGCAGGUGGGCAAACAGCAGUAGUAUUAGCAGUUUCUGGGGAUUUUUCGUGGGAAAUUGGUGAUAAUCAAUAUGAGAAUCAUGUAGAGCUUUUUCAUACCUUUCCAACGAGUACUUAUGCGCUCGAUUCGGAGUUAUAUUUUAGGAGAUAUCGCUGUUUGAAUCCGGGUAUGUUGCUGUCCAAAAAAACAGAUUUGCAGGUGGGCAAACAGCAGUAGUAUUAGCAGUUUCUGGGGAUUUUUCGUGGAAACUUAGUGAUAAUCAAUAUGAGAAUCAUUUAGAGCUUUGUCAUACCUUUCCAACGAUUACUUAUGCACUCGAUUCGGAGUUAUAUUUUAGGAGAUAUUGCUGUUUGAAUCCGGGUAUGUUGCUGUCCAAAAAAAACAGAUUUAUACAGGUGGGCGAACAGCAGUAGUAUUAGCAGUUUCUGGGAAUUUUUCGUGGGAAAUUGGUGAUAAUCAAUAUGAGAAUCAUGUAGAGCCUUGUCAUACCUUUCCAACGAGUACUUAUGCGUUCGAUUCGGAGUUAUAAUUUAGGAGAUAUUGCUGUUUGAAUCCGGUUAUGUUGCUGUCCAAAAACAGAUUGCAGGGUGUAUCUUGUAGACGAGUUUGGGCUAAUUAGAUGCUGGAAUUUAAUUAUUAUUUGAAUAUAAAACUUGUGGGAAAUUUUAUGUAGAUGCUUCCGUAGUUUUUGAUUGAUAUCACUGCUGUUAUAAUUUUAAAGUUAUGAAAUUAUCAAGCAGCACCGCUGCAGUUUGGUGGUGAUGGGGAGAGUUGUCGCUCGCAACGGGUUGGAAUUGUGCGUAGGUGCGGCGUUGUUUAUUAGCGUUUGUUAUGUUGAUUUGUACACUAAGGUGUGUGUCAAAAACAGGUGGUGGACUUCCGGAUCGUACUUAGUACCAUUCCAAAUUCCCGGUGAAGGCAAGUAAAUACAGUGGUGGUUGCUACCGUUUGGUUUGCAUCCUAUGCCUUGUCAUUGAGUAUGCAUAAGUAUUAAAUGUGUUAAUCAUUGAAUUCUAUGAUGAAGUUUAUUUGUUCGAAAGAAUUAAUUCUCAAUUGUCUAAUAUUGAGGAUGAUCAUGAUUUGGGAAUGAUAUAUGUGGUUGAUUCCCAUCUUGGAUGAAGUUGAAGUAUCUCUUUGAAUCAUGUUGUAUGAAGUGUUGUAGGCAUGUCAUGCACAUCGCAUCAUCCAUAUUGCAUUUUGAAGUUAUGUCGUGAUCUUAUGGUCCGACCGUACCGGUACACUUUUAGCAUCGUACGUUGCCCGAGGAGGGGUACGAUGCGGCUUCAUAUCCUUAGAGGUAUGAAGGCAGAAGUCAUCCUUGCAUUUGCAGACAUUUGCACUCAUGAGGUAUAUAUGAAGUGUGACAUUACUAUGUUACUAUUGUGGUUUCUACCUGUGAGGUGUGGUAACUAGGUGUGUUGUACGUUGUAUUCGUGCUGCACCUUCGUAAUAAGAAGGUUGCGAAAUCAAAUGGUGGUAAAACAAUGUUCUUAUGUGGUUAAACAGUUUGUUAUUAUUUUACUUGCUGAGAUGUGUCAUCUCACUCUUGCAUUACUCAAUGCAGGUACUUGAUAUAUGUUGGGAAUGAGGGGAGUAGCAGCACGUCCACUUUCACUCUCAUAUUAAAGCUGCCCAAGCGCAUCCAUGAUUUAAUUAGAAACUUGAUGUCAAAGGAUGUUUGUUUUUUUUUACUAGUCAUGCGCACUGGUUAAUUCAGUUCAUGUCGUAUGUUUAACUUUCCUUUGCUAGCCGUUUAAUAAUACUUAGUAUGUUUUUUUUGUCAUGAUACAUGUUUAUACACUGUUGCCCCCUCCUUUAUGCUAUUUUGCAAAGGAGAUGCUGUCGAAAUUUUAUAUACGGAUGUCAGAAGUGUAGUUCAGUAGCAUUCCGGGGUGUUUGUGGAUUCCGGGAUGUUACACUGACGGUGACCCGCACACCGUUGUGAUCCCCGAAACCUCCCCUACGUCCUCGACCACUUCACCGGAGCCAUCUCGCCGUCGGUAAGCCCCUCCGCCGUUUCUUCCGCCGCGGUUACUGUUUAAGUUAGAAGAAGGACCUCGGGUUAGGAUUUGUAGAACCCGAGGGGUUUUCUGUAACGUUAGUGACCCAUGUGAAUAGUAGCCUAAGGACUGAUCCGCGAAGAAAACUUAGAAUACCCGCCAGGGACCCCAGUGCAAAGUGGAUUUCCAUUUAAUCAAUUCUGUUAAUCUUUUUAAAUGACCAGAGAACUUAGAAAAUCCAUAACUUGAU
rnacentral:lncRNA from 1 species